rnacentral:rRNA from 1 species
UAGGCCUAUGGGGGACAGCAGUGAGGAAUAUUGGUCAAUGGCCGCAGGGCUGAACCAGCCAAGUCGCGUGAGGGAUGACGGUCCUAUGGAUUGUAAACCUCUUUUGUCAGGGAGCAAAGGGCGCCACGUGUGGCGUUUUGCGAGUACCUGAAGAAAAAGCAUCGGCUAACUCCGUGCCAGCAGCCGCGGUAAUACGGAGGAUGCGAGCGUUAUCCGGAUUUAUUGGGUUUAAAGGGCGUGCAGCCGGAGAGACAAGUCAGAUGUGAAAUCCACGGGCUCAACCCGGGAACUGCAUUUGAAACUGG